rnacentral:rRNA from 1 species
AUGAUCCGGGUGAGAAGCAUCAACAAAACCAGCCGGUUGGGAACAAUAAACAGCCUUGAGAUCACCAUGAUGAAAUGCAUUUUUGACAUCCAGUUGAGGUAUUGGCCGCGAAUGAGAGGUUGCAAGACUGAGCACCACACGGACAGUGGCCGGUUUCACGACCGGAAUGAAAGUCUCGUCGUAAUCCACACCCUCUUGUUGAGUGAAACCCCGGACAACCCACCGAGCUUUGUAGCGAGCCAAAGAGCCAUCCGUGUGAAACUUGUGGCGAAAGAUCCACUUCCCGUAACAAUGUUGACACUUGCAAGCUUAGGCACCAAAGACCAAGUAGAGUUAUUGAUUAAAGCACGAUACUCCUCUUGCAUAGCAUGGCGCCAAUUAGGGUCCUUAAGGGCUGAUUUGUACGUUGGAGGGAUAGGGGAGAGGGAUGUGGAUGUGGUAUCAGCAAGAAAAAGGUGA